UCAAAAAUCUGUUAAUCAGUGCAGUCUGAGUAUACGAGAAUGAAACAAAACUUUCAACAACGGAUCUCUUGGUUCUGGCAUCGAUGAAGAACGCAGCGAAAUGCGAUAAGUAAUGUGAAUUGCAGAAUUCAGUGAAUCAUCGAAUCUUUGAACGCACAUUGCGCCCUCUGGUAUUCCGGGGGGCAUGCCUGUUCGAGCGUCAUUA
rnacentral:rRNA from 1 species